rnacentral:rRNA from 1 species
GAAUUCGCCCUUAGAGUUUGAUCCUGGCUCAGGACGAACGCUGGCGGCACGCCUAACACAUGCAAGUCGAACGAGGUUACAUUGAAGCUUGCUUUGAAGUAACCUAGUGGCGGACGGGUGAGUAACACGUGAGGAACCUGCCUUACAGAGGGGGAUACCGUCUGGAAACGGACGUUAAUACCGCAUAAGAUGACGAAUCCGCAUGCUUUUGUCAUAAAAGAUUUAUCGCUGUAAGAUGGCCUCGCGUCUGAUUAGAUAGUUGGUGAGGUAACGGCCCACCAAGUCGACGAUCAGUAGCCGGACUGAGAGGUUGAACGGCCACAUUGGGACUGAGACACGGCCCAGACUCCUACGGGAGGCAGCAGUGGGGAAUAUUGCACAAUGGAGGAAACUCUGAUGCAGCGAUGCCGCGUGAGGGAAGAAGGUUUUAGGAUUGUAAACCUCUGUCUUCAGGGACGAUAAUGACGGUACCUGAGGAGGAAGCUCCGGCUAACUACGUGCCAGCAGCCGCGGUAAUACGUAGGGAGCGAGCGUUGUCCGGAAUUACUGGGUGUAAAGGGAGUGUAGGCGGGACUGCAAGUCAGAUGUGAAAACUAUGGGCUUAACCCAUAGACUGCAUUUGAAACUGUAGUUCUUGAGUGAAGUAGAGGUAAGCGGAAUUCCUAGUGUAGCGGUGAAAUGCGUAGAUAUUAGGAGGAACAUCAGUGGCGAAGGCGGCUUACUGGGCUUUUACUGACGCUGAGGCUCGAAAGCGUGGGGAGCAAACAGGAUUAGAUACCCUGGUAGUCCACGCCGUAAACGAUGAUUACUAGGUGUGGGGGGAUUGAACCCUUCCGUGCCGCAGUUAACACAAUAAGUAAUCCACCUGGGGAGUACGACCGCAAGGUUGAAACUCAAAGGAAUUGACGGGGGCCCGCACAAGCAGUGGAGUAUGUGGAUUAAUUCGAAGCAACGCGAAGAACCUUACCAGGUCUUGACAUCGUACGCAUAGCAUAGAGAUAUGUGAAAUCCCUUCGGGGACGUAUAGACAGGUGGUGCAUGGUUGUCGUCAGCUCGUGUCGUGAGAUGUUGGGUUAAGUGCCAUAACGAGCGCAACCCCUGUCCUCGGUUGCCAUCAGGUAAUGCUGGGCACUCCGUGGAUACUGCCAUCGCAAGAUGUGAGGAAGGUGGGGAUGACGUCAAAUCAGCACGGCCCUUACGUCCGGGGCUACACACGUGUUACAAUGGGGGGUACAGAGGGCUGCUGUCCGGUGACGGUCGGCCAAUCCCUAAAACCCCUCUCAGUUCGGACUGGAGUCUGCAACCCGACUCCACGAAGCUGGAUUCGCUAGUAAUCGCGCAUCAGCCAUGGCGCGGUGAAUACGUUCCCGGGCCUUGCACUCACAACCCGUCA